UACAGAGGUGGCAAGCGUUGUUCGGAAUUACUGGGCGUAAAGGGCGCGUAGGCGGCCUUCUAAGUCGGACGUGAAAGCCCCAGGCUUAACCUGGGAACUGCGUCCGAUACUGGGAGGCUUGGAUUCGGGAGAGGGAUGUGGAAUUCCAGGUGUAGCGGUGAAAUGCGUAGAUAUCUGGAGGAACACCGGUGGCGAAGGCGGCAUCCUGGACCGAGAGUCGACGCUGAGGCGCGAAAGCUAGGG
rnacentral:rRNA from 1 species